GAUGAACGCUGGCGGCGUGCCUAAUACAUGCAAGUCGAGCGAACAGACGAGGAGCUUGCUCCUCUGACGUUAGCGGCGGACGGGUGAGUAACACGUGGAUAACCUACCUAUAAGACUGGGAUAACUUCGGGAAACCGGAGCUAAUACCGGAUAAUAUAUUGAACCGCAUGGUUCAAUAGUGAAAGACGGUUUUGCUGUCACUUAUAGAUGGAUCCGCGCCGCAUUAGCUAGUUGGUAAGGUAACGGCUUACCAAGGCAACGAUGCGUAGCCGACCUGAGAGGGUGAUCGGCCACACUGGAACUGAGACACGGUCCAGACUCCUACGGGAGGCAGCAGUAGGGAAUCUUCCGCAAUGGGCGAAAGCCUGACGGAGCAACGCCGCGUGAGUGAUGAAGGUCUUCGGAUCGUAAAACUCUGUUAUUAGGGGAGAACAAACGUGUAAGUAACUAUGCACGUCUUGACGGUACCUAAUCAGAAAGCCACGGCUAACUACGUG
rnacentral:rRNA from 1 species